GAUGAACGCUGGCGGCGUGCCUAAUACAUGCAAGUCGAGCGAACAGACGAGGAGCUUGCUCCUCUGACGUUAGCGGCGGACGGGUGAGUAACACGUGGAUAACCUACCUAUAAGACUGGGAUAACUUCGGGAAACCGGAGCUAAUACCGGAUAAUAUAUUGAACCGCAUGGUUCAAUAGUGAAAGACGGUUUUGCUGUCACUUAUAGCUGGAUCCGCGCCGCAUUAGCUAGUUGGUAAGGUAACGGCUUACCAAGGCUACGAUGCGUAGCCGACCUGAGAGGGUGAUCGGCCACACUGGAACUGAGAAACGGCCCAGACUCCUACGGGAGGAAGCAGUAGGGAAUCUUCCGCAAUGGGCGAAAGCCUGACGGAGCAACGCGGCGUGAGUGAUGAAGGUCUUCGGAUCGUAAAACUCUGUUAUUCGGGAAGAACAAAUGUGUAAGUAACUAUGCACGUCUUGACGGUACCUAAUCAGAAAGCCACGGCUAACUACGUG
rnacentral:rRNA from 1 species